UACGUAGGGUGCAAGCGUUAAUCGGAAUUACUGGGCGUAAAGCGUGCGCAGGCGGUUUUUUAAGACAGGUGUGAAAUCCCCGGGCUUAACCUGGGAAUGGCAUUUGUGACUGGAAGGCUAGAGUGUGUCAGAGGGGGGUAGAAUUCCACGUGUAGCAGUGAAAUGCGUAGAGAUGUGGAGGAAUACCGAUGGCGAAGGCAGCCCCCUGGGAUAACACUGACGCUCAUGCACGAAAGCGUGGGGAGCAAACAGG
rnacentral:rRNA from 1 species